UAUCUUAUGUAUGGAUUGCAUGUACUGGAAGUCUCACAUUAGUGUGAUCACACAACCGUAGAAUAGAUCCCACAUAUUGUAAAAAAAAAAGACAUUGAUGGCAUACAACCGUUGCUAGUUGUGCUCAGUUUUACAAUUGGUCAAAACUCAAAACAGCCAAAGAAAAGAACAAAGGCUGCUCAACUGUGGAUCCGACUGAGCCAAAGCUUAUUUAGCUCUGUACUUUUAAACCCACUUCCAGUUUUCCAUGGAAACUUCAUCAUCAUCUUAUUCAGAGAUCAUAUUGGAAGAAUGGAAUGGCUCCUCUUCCACCAAGCUCUCAAAAACUGCCACCAUCACCGCCUCUCCUUCUCUUUUCAUCCAAAGGUCUGGUGGUCGAUUCAACCAUGUUUGGAGAAGGGUUCUCCAAGCAUUUGUACCAGAGGGUUUUCCUAGUAGCGUGACUCCAGAUUAUGUUCCUUUUCAAGUCUGGGAUUUACUGCAGGGCCUUUCCACAUAUAUUCGGAUGAUGCUUUCUACACAAGCUCUUCUUAGUGCAAUUGGGGUUGGUGAGAAAUCAGCGACUGUAAUUGGCGCCACAUUUCAGUGGUUUCUGAGGGACCUAACUGGAAUGCUUGGAGGUAUCUUAUUCACAUUCUACCAGGGCUCAAACCUGGAUAGCAAUGCCAAAAUGUGGCGUUUGGUAGCAGAUCUUAUGAAUGAUCUUGGAAUGUUGAUGGACCUUCUUUCCCCUUUGUUUCCUUCAGCUUUUGUGUUUAUAGUUUGCCUGGGGAGCCUAUCUCGAUCCUUCACUGGUGUUGCAAGUGGAGCAACCAGGGCUGCUUUGACACAGCAUUUUGCCCUUCAGAAUAAUGCAGCAGAUAUAUCUGCAAAGGAAGGAAGUCAAGAGACAGUGGCAACAAUGAUUGGCAUGGCUUUGGGCAUGCUUCUUGCUCGUAUUACAACGGGGCAUGCACUAUCUAUUUGGUUUUGUUUUCUGUCUCUCACCAUGUUUCAUAUGUAUGCAAACUACAGGGCUGUCCGGUGCCUUGCCUUGACUACAUUAAAUCCUGAGAGGAGCUCAAUUGUUUUUCAGCAUUUCAUGAAGACUGGCCAAGUUCUCUCACCUGAAACAGUCUCUAAAAUGGAACAUGUGUUGCCCAUAUGGACCACUUCAUUGAGCUCAAGGGGUGUUAAAUCAAUGCACAUGCAAGUACAUUUAGGUGUGAGGGUAUCUUCACUUAAUCACCAGGAACUGAUGGAUGUGUUGCAUUCUGCAGGAUCUCAUUACAAGAAAGCAAAGUACUUGCUAGUGGAGAAGAAGGGAAUCAUCAGUGCUAUUCUGCACAAAGAUUCGACAUCUAAAGAUGUCUUACAAUCAUUUUUUCACGCACUAGUUAUGGCAAAUCUUACAGAUAAAAAUAAGUCUGCGCAAUUGGAAAGCCAAUCAUGGAUGGAUAAACAGUAUGAAGUUUUUAUUCAAAAGAGCAAAUGCAUCAUGAUAUGGGGAGGCAACUGGAGCACUUAAAAUACCAUCCUUUUCUAUAAUAAUAGAAAUCCAUCUCCACUAAUGGCUGGGAUAUCCAAUACACUACUAAUCUUUCCAGGUCUGUUGGACCCCACCCAUUGUGCUGAUGCAUAAGAUCAAGGGUUAUAGUGUAUUCUCCAAAUGCUGGAGAGCAUGCAUGCUAUUUUUCAUUUAAUGGAAACACUGAAGAAAUUGAUAAGGAGCUGAACUCAUGAAAAUAAUUUUACUCUAAGGUCUUCAGGUUGGAAAACGGAACGUCUUCUAUCGCCUUCUAUUAUGUGGAAGGCAAAUUGGAUCUGCGGACCUUUGGAUGCAAAGAUUGACUAGGUAAUUUCUAGUCUAUUGCAUAAAAAAAUGGUGAUAAGAGGUGAAACUGGUACAACUUGCUAUGACCAGAGGCCAUUGAUCUGAUCUUGGUGAAUUAGAGUAGAGAGAACAGUUAGCUGACAGAAUCUUAACAGAAGAACAUAACUACCAAUGAAGGGUCUAGUGAGGUUCUGGCAGGCGAAGGAUCUACCCCAAGCCUUUAGGCAAAAGGGCCCUUUUUUUAUAACCAUUACAUUAUAUUUCUCAAGAAGUUGCAUACAACAUUGAUCUUACUUCUUACCAUUUUUUUAGACGAAAGUUUCAACACCUCUAACAGAUAAAGCUUUACUUGCAUCAUGCCUUGGAUGGUGUAAAUGAGUUCACCACCAGCUUUUAAUUAAGUUUCAAGCAUAGCAUGACAGUAGUCGUAUACUGAAGUUGGUUUUGCUCCAUUCAUUUGGAGCUGGAGUACAACUUGGAAAUUGGAUAUUACCUUGAUUCUGCUUUUGGACAUUUUUUGUGUCAAGUAAAUUAAGCUAUCCACUCAUUGUAUUACUUUAGUGCUAGGAAUUUAUAAUGAUUUUUACCUUGCAUCUUGUUGACUUUCAAAAUAUUUGUAUUUAAUUUGGUACUUAUUCUGGGUU